rnacentral:rRNA from 1 species
UUCUAAGGGAAAAGGAGCAGGCGCGUAAAUUACCCAAUCUUGAAACAAGGAGGUAGUGACAAUAAAUAACAAUGCCGGGCCUUUCUAGGUCUGUCAAUUGGAAUGAGAACAAUUUAAAUCCCUUAUCGAGGAUCAAUUGGAGGGCAAGUCUGGUGCCAGCAGCCGCGGUAAUUCCAGCUCCAAUAGCGUAUAUUAAAGUUGUUGCAGUUAAAAAGCUCGUAGUUGGACUUGUGCAUGUCCCUAGAUGUCCAUAUUGUUUGGUGCGUUGUAGGGCGUGCAUCCUUGGGUGGAAUUUGUGUGGCAUUAGGUUGUCGUACAGAGGAUGCUCAUCGUUUACUGUGAAAAAAAUAGAGUGUUCAAAGCAGGCCUUUGCCGUUGAAUAUAUUAGCAUGGAAUAAUAAGAUAAGACCUUGGUACUAUUUUGUUGGUUUGCGCACUGAGGUAAUGAUUAACAGGGACAGUUGGGGGUAUUCGUAUUCCAUUGUCAGAGGUGAAAUUCUUGGAUUUUUGGAAGACGAACUACUGCGAAAGCAUUUACCAAGGAUGUUUUCAUUAAUCAAGAACGAAAGUUAGGGGAUCGAAGAUGAUUAGAUACCAUCGUAGUCUUAACCAUAAACUAUGCCAACAAGGGAUUGGCGGGGCUUUCGUUACGUCUCCGUCAGCACCUUAUGAGAAAUCACAAGUUUUUGGGUUCCGGGGGGAGUAUGGUCGCAGGACCUUAAAACAA